AGCCGAACAUGUGCUUGCCAUAAACCUGCCUUGGUCACUUAGAGGUCAGAUGCCUGUCUUGUGACAAGGAACCAAUCAGAAGUUAGCUGGUGGCGCUAUGCUUUACGACCCUGGGUGUGCUUUACGGACAAGCGCACGACAAUGACGUAGAGAGCAUAGCAACCACCCUGGGAGGGCCUAUGAGCCAUAACAACCAGUUGACCAAUCAACACAGGGCAAGUCCUCCAAGCCUGGAGGCACACCAAUCAUGAGCCUGUGCGUACCCCUAGACACUCCCCUUACGCUGCCCUAUAAGAUCUUUGGGGAGACCUUAGGAGCCGUCUUUUCUAGCCGUCAGCCAUGGCGGGUGGGUGAAAGACCCGAGCUAACAUGGGGUUAGUUCGUUAAAUUACAAUAAAGCCUCGUGCAGUUUGCAGCAAGCUCUCGAAUCCGCCUGGUGAUUGGGGUGACCGCGAACCUGGCCUGAGACCCCGGAUACUUGAGUUUUCGGGGGUCUAACAUUUUGGGGGCUCGUCCGCGAUUUGCGACCACCCUUCACCUGAGUGGAUUCGAUCUUGGAGGUUUCUGCUUCUGGCAGACAUCUGAAUAUCAGUUGCUGACUACAGACUGUUCUAAGACUGCGAGCCCUAGACUUGCUGUGGAUGUGAACCAGUUCAGCUGAUAUGGACACCCCCUGUCUCUGCAACAGUGUCUGCUACCCAGAAGCCCCUGAUGAAUUCCCCAUUGCCUAAAUCCCUUUUUGCUUUUGACUAGCAUUUCAACCUUCUGGGGUCCCUAACUUCGUCCCAAAGUCAGCAGGAAGCAGUUUAGAAAAGAAUUUCGGCGUCCAUUUUCCC
rnacentral:lncRNA from 1 species